GAACUUGUUAUUUGGUAAAUAAAAAAACUUAUAACAUGAGUGGAAAUACAAAUUGUGUCAUUUAAACUCCUAAUAUACUAGCAUUAGUGCAAAAGAAAAGAUUGCACUACCUCUCUAUGUUCUCCCUUGCAACCAUAUCUUGUCCCAACUUGAAAAGGGAAAGAAAUGAACUAAGUAAACCUCCUCACUUGCCUAUAUACAGACACUAAAAGUAUCAAAAUAUUGGAUAUUGUUUAAUCCUUGAGUACUAGAGCACAUUCUACAGCAUGCUAGCAGAUUUAAUGAAUGAAUCGGACGUAGAAGGAGGGGCUACAUGAUAUUAAGCAUUCACAUUCUCAGCAACAUCUAGAGCGCGGUUGAAAGAAGGGCACGAACCACACGAACCAAGAGAUCGAGGUUGAAUGGGUUAUAAUGGUGCUUAGGUUAUCCUUUUCCUCAUCCUUCAAACUGCACAGAAUGAAAAAAAGUUGGUCUUAUCAGAUAUCUACAAUGAACCGUUAUAUAGAAAGAAUCGUUGGAAUGUGAUCACUACAUGUCAAUAUCAUGUCGUUAGAUGAAGUUGAAAUGUCACAGAGUAAAUGAAAAAGAGGUAUGUAUACCUGGAAAGAUGGGAUCAUGUAAUAGUUCCCUCAAAGUAGAAUGCGCGGCUAUAGUGCAGUACAGAGCUUUUCCAGGUCAGGCACUUGUAAUUGCUAUGUUAGAUUGGAUAUUAGCAGCAGCAGCGCAGCGAGGUUAAACACUUGCAUUUGCAACUCGGCCAU
rnacentral:lncRNA from 1 species